rnacentral:lncRNA from 1 species
GGCCAGUGCUACGGGCCAUUUCGGCCAAAGCAAACUAGUUAAAUAAAAAAAAUACAGCAAAAAAAAUAUGUGUUAAAGGCAGCCAAAAACUUUGCAGCUAUUUAGCUGCCUUAAACCGGCAGUUAUUAGAAAAAAAAUCGAGCUGGCUCAGUUCAGUAAGGCCCGAGCCGAAAGCUCGAAUCGAGCCUCGAUUUUUUGACAGAGUUUUUGCUUGGCUAGAGUUAGGUCAAAAAAAGCCCGACCAAAAAAAGUUCGAGCUAAGCUCGAGCCUCUAGUUUUGGCUCGUUGACACCCCUAACUAUAGCAACUCAUUUGUAAUAUCUCAAAAUUUAUAAGUAAAAUUUCAAAUUUCUCCUAUCUAUUCCCUUCUACAUCCAACAAAUUUUGGUAUUAGAGCUUAGGCAAAAUACAAAAAUCAAAUCCUACCAAAAGUUGAAACAAAACCAGCUUCAAAAACCCACCGUAGUUGUAACAGAGUUUUAAUUAGAAACAAAUGAGCUAUGACCACAAAUUCAGCAGCCUCCUUGUUCACAUAUUCACCAAGUACCAAUCUUUAAAUGUGAACAUUAUAAAUAUUAGGGUAGUCAAAUGCAAACUUUCUUCAUCUCUUUAGAUUUAUAUAGGAUGUCAUUGAAGACGAUGAGGUGGUAGAAGAUUCGACCGAAGACGAUGAAGAAGAUUCAAAGUUAAAAAAGGAAUACGAAAAGAAAGAUGCAAUGGCGUUCCGAUAUAUUCAACAAGGAGUUGGAAAAUCAAAUUUUCCUCAUAUAUUUGGUGUUAAAAAAGCCAAAGAUACAUGGAAAAUUUUAAAUCAAGAAUUUCAAGGCUUGGAGUAAACUAUCGCCUUGAAACUUCAAUCUUUAUGGAAAGAUUUUGACAAUCUCAAAACGGAAGAACGAGAGUCGAUUCGCGAUUUCUCUUCACGAGUUUCGGAGAUUGUAAACCAAAUCAAAAGUUGCAGAGAUAUGAUUAUAGACAAAAGAAUUGUUGAGAAAGUGCUUCGAUGUCUCCCUCCAAAAUUCAAUCAUCUAGCUGCCGCAAUUGAAGAAUUAAAGGACUUGUUUAAAAUGACCAUCUACGAGUUGAUCGGAUCACUUCUUGCAUAUGAGCAAAGAAUUAAUCGUUUGGUUAGUCAAUCAACCGAACAAGCCUUGCAAUCUAAGCAAGCAUUAAAAAUAAGUUCAAGCAAUCAUGGAGGUUCAAAUAAAAAAAGGGAAAGUUUAGCAAGUGGAAUCAAAAUGUAAAGCAAAGUAAUUAAAAAGCCAAGGCACCACAACAAUCUGACAACGCUCAAUGUUGUAUUAUUUGCAAAAAGAACAAUCAUAAAUGAAAAGAUUGCUAUCUUAAAUACAAAAGAUGCAAAGUGCCUAAUCAUUCUCAAAAAGAUUGUUGGUUUCAAAAAAAGAAGAAAAAUGAAGAUGCAACAAAUUUUUUCAAAGAGAGUGAAGAUGAAAUUCUAUUUUAUUCUCAUCAAAAUGGUGACUUUGAAUCCAAGAAUCAAUGGAAUUUGGAUAGCGGGGCUAGCAAUCACAUAGAGAUUAAUCCAAAUAUUACCUUCAAAUCAUUCUGAGACAUGGAACACAAAGAAG